CCAGGAACAACCGGACUGCUUGAAGGUGCAAUAGUUCGGCCCGAGGCUCCUGUGCUGAAUAGUCCAAGACUGCCCCUCUUCCACGAUUAAAAGCUCAUUGUUCAGAAUCCAAAGGAGGUUGUCCUCAGUGAUAGAACCAUUCUCACCAAUACAUGCACUUGCUGACGCAUUGUGAAAGUGGACGUUUUGGUACCCAGCUCGAUCCACCGGCAUGCUGGGUGUUUCGCUUUCGGAACCAGAACCUACUCAUCGGGAAGAGGAUGGCGCGAAAUAGGGAGAGCAUGGCGACAAAGAGAUCUGGUGGAUAGUUCUAGAUUAGUGCCUACUUUCGUUCGAUAGGCAACACCAGCAACUGGUUUUCACAUUUUGGCACUCGGUAUUGAUAUGGAUAUACUUCAAGUGUUUUCCCCCUCAACACAGUAACAUAUAGGAAUAUUUUAUUGGAACAUGUAUCUAUCAAUAGCUGAAUAUCAUUCAGCAUGAAAAAAAAAAAAAAACAUGAUAAUAUCUAUUAGUAUCAUUUGAUUCAUGGCAUUAGGAUUCAGGAA
rnacentral:sRNA from 1 species